rnacentral:rRNA from 1 species
CAGUAGCCGCGGUAAUACGUAGUGUGCGAGCGUUAAUCGGAAUUACUGGGCGUAAAGCGCACGCAGGCGGUUUGUUAAGUCAGAUGUGAAGUCCCCGAGCUUAACUUGGGAACUGCAUUUGAAACUGGCAAGCUAGAGUCUUGUAGAGGGGGGUAGAAUUCCAGGUGUAGCGGUGAAAUGCGUAGAGAUCUGGAGGAAUACCGGUGGCGAAGGCGGCCCCCUGGACAAAGACUGACGCUCAGGUGCGAAAGCGUGGGGAGCAAACAGGAUUAGAUACCCCAGUAGUCCCUGUCUCUUAUAC